GUGGGGAAUUUUGGACAAUGGGCGCAAGCCUGAUCCAGCAAUGCCGCGUGCAGGAAGAAGGCCUUCGGGUUGUAAACUGCUUUUGUACGGAACGAAACGGUCCUGGUUAAUACCUGGGGCUAAUGACGGUACCGUAAGAAUAAGCACCGGCUAACUACGUGCCAGCAGCCGCGGUAAUACGUAGGGUGCGAGCGUUAAUCGGAAUUACUGGGCGUAAAGCGUGCGCAGACGGUGCUGUAAGACAGGCGUGAAAUCCCCGGGCUCAACCUGGGAAUUGCGCUUGUGACUGCAGUGCUGGAGUACGGCAGAGGGGGAUGGAAUUCCGCGUGUAGCAGUGAAAUGCGUAGAUAUGCGGAGGAACACCGAUGGCGAAGGCAGUCCCCUGGGCCUGUACUGACGCUCAUGCACGAAAGCGUGGGGAGCAAACAGGAUUAGAUACCCUAGUAGUCC
rnacentral:rRNA from 1 species